rnacentral:rRNA from 1 species
AGUGAACGCUGGCGGCAUGCCUAACACAUGCAAGUCGAACGACCGCACGAUAAGCGCGUGCUCUUGCCGGUGGCGAGUGACGGACGGGUGAGAAAUAGAUCAGAAUCCACUUUUUCUUGGGGAAUAACGGAGGACAAGUGACGCUAACACCGCAUACGACCUACCGGUGGAAGCAAGGGAUCUACACGCUUUUCCUGUUUCAUAGAGCCGAUGCCGGAUUAGCUAGUUGGCGUGGUAAAGGCCCACCAAGGCGACGAUCCGUAGCUGGUCUGAGAGGAUGAUCAGCCACACUGGAACUGAGACACGGUCCAGACUCCUACGGGAGGCAGCAGUGGGGAAUAUUGGACAAUGGGCGAAAGCCUGAUCCAGCCAUACCGCGUGAGUGAAGAAGGCCUUCGGGUUGUAAAGCCCUUUUGUUGGGAAAGAAAAGCAGCAGGUUAAUACCCCGCUGUUCUGACGGUACCCAAAGAAUAAGCACCGGCUAACUUCGUG